AUCCAGCUGAUGAGUGCCAGAUAAGACGAAAUAUGCAUCCUGGAC
rnacentral:hammerhead_ribozyme from 1 species